rnacentral:lncRNA from 1 species
AUGGUAUGGGCCCCAUGGUGGAGAUGUGGGGUUAUGGUAUGGGCCCCAUGGUGGAGAUGUGGGGUUAUGGUAUGGGCCCCAUGGUGGAGAUGUGGGGUUAUGGUAUGGGCCCCAUGGUGGAGAUGUGGGGUUAUGGUGUUUGUGGUAUGGGCCCCAUGGUGGAGAUGGGGUUAUGGUAUGGGCCCCAUGGUGGAGGUGGGGAUAUGGUAUGGGCCCCAUGGUGGAGCAACACUAUGUCAACUAAACAGGAUCUGAUUGGAUCGAGCCCUGGGUUUUUCUGAUUUAAAAACUAAAAUAAUUGUGUGACUUCCAGCUGUUUUUAAAUCGACAUGCACCACAGCAGGUAAUUGUUCCAUCUGUUUUCUAUGUAAAUAUCAACCCCCCACAAAAUAAGUUACUGGAAGUGUAGCUACUGAUGGUCAGAUCACUGGACAAGUUACUGGAAGUGUA